UUUCCCUCAGCUAUUCCAUGGCUUUUCGUGUGGACAAAUCGGGAGGUGGUGUAAACUGGUUUUUGGUGAAAUUCGGCUCGGCCUCAUGCGAACCUAUCUAGGUCCGUCUCUGGAGUGGCCUGUCAUCGAUCGCGCCCUCCAUCGCUGAGCGACACAAGUGGAACCCCCCAGGACUGCAUUCUGCGAAACUACCCUGCUUUUCCCCCAGUUUUGGUCUGUGAACACAUUUGGGAAAUUCUUCUGAUCCUACCGCUACUCUCUUGAGGUACAGUAAAUUGUCUUUGACUUCCAUCACCUUUUGUAAUAUUACAAUUGCCAUCUAUUGAGUUCCUAUGAUCAGCCUGGCAUUGUACUAAGUGCUUUAUAUUUUCUUGUUCAUUUUUUUAUGCCAACAUAAAUGAGUUUGACUCAAUUCUUAUUAUAACCUGCCAAAAUAAGUAUUCCUCUUCCUUUUUACAGAGAGAGAAACAAGGGGAAAAAAAGUUAAUUGCCUGAGGAUACACUGCUAGUGUUGCGG
rnacentral:lncRNA from 1 species